AUGAGAAUGUGUGCUGUUAAAACUGACACACACACGUAGGCACACACACUUUCAUACAGACUCCUACACAUGCACAAAAUAAAUACAUUUUUGAGUUCAUAUGGAAAUCUUUGUUUGACUGCAGAAAGUGCAAAUGCCAAUUUGAGCACUGACUUUGCUGGGAUCUUUUCAAACUUCCAAGAAGACAAAUGUGAAAUUAUGAGCCUGAAGUGCUGGAUAUAAUGUUUGCAUAUGGGCUACCCAAUUGACCACACUGUGAUCAGCCUACAGAUAUUUCAAGAUGAACAAGAAGACCUUUGGCAUGAAAAUGAGUCCUUUACCUUACUUCAGCUCAGUCCACUACUUUCACCAGAACAUCAUUCACUCACCA